GGGAAACCGCGAUAAGGGGAUACCGAGUGCCAGCAUAUUAUGUUGGCUGUCCACAUGUGUAACGGCAUGUGUUAGCAAGGGCCGGGCAAGACCGUUGCCAGCCGCCGCGGUAACACCGGCGGCCCGAGUGGUAAUCAUUUUUAUUGGGUCUAAAGGGUCCGUAGCCGGUUUGAUCAGUUCUUCGGGAAAUCUGACAGCUCAACUGUUAGGCUUCCGGGGAAUACUGUCAGACUUGGGACCGGGAGAGGUAAGAGGUACUACAGGGGUAGGAGUGAAAUCUUGUAAUCCCUGUGGGACCACCAGUGGCGAAGGCGUCUUACCAGAACGGGUCCGACGGUGAGGGACGAAAGCUGGGGGCACGAACCGGAUUAGAUACCCGGGUAGUCCCAGCCGUUAACGAUGUUCGCUAGGUGUCAGGGACGGUGCGACCGUUUCUGGUGCCGUAGGGAAGCCGUGAAGCGAGCC
rnacentral:rRNA from 1 species